rnacentral:piRNA from 1 species
UGGGCUCUUUGUUGAUUUCUGAUACUUGA